GAUGAAGAACGUAGCGAAAUGCGAUAAGUAAUGUGAAUUGCAGAAUUCAGUGAAUCAUCGAAUCUUUGAACGCACAUUGCGCCCCCUGGUAUUCCGGGGGGCAUGCCUGUUCGAGCGUCAUUUCACCACUCAAGCCUCGCUUGGUAUUGGGCAACGCGGUCCGCCGCGUGCCUCAAUCGACCGGCUGGGUCUUCUGUCCCCUAAGCGUUGUGGAAACUAUUCGCUAAAGGGUGUUCGGGAGGCUACGCCGUAAAACAACCCCAUUUCUAAGGUUGACCUCGGAUCAGGUAGGGAUACCCGCUGAACUUAAGCAUAUCAAUAAGCGGAGGA
rnacentral:misc_RNA from 1 species